rnacentral:rRNA from 1 species
ACGGAGGAUGCGAGCGUUAUCCGGAUUUAUUGGGUUUAAAGGGUGCGUAGGCGGAUCAAUAAGUCAGUGGUGAAAUUCUGCAGCUUAACUGGAGACUUGCCAUUGAUACUGUUGGUCUUGAGUAUGGUCAAGGUAGGCGGAAUGUGUAGUGUAGCGGUGAAAUGCGUAGAUAUCACGCAGAACACCGAUUGCGAAGGCAGCUUGCUGGGCCAAAACUGACGCUGAUGCGCGAAAGCGUGGGGAGCGAACAG